rnacentral:rRNA from 1 species
AUUGAACGCUGGCGGCAUGCUUUACACAUGCAAGUCGGACGGCAGCACAGAGAAGCUUGCUUCUUGGGUGGCGAGUGGCGAACGGGUGAGUAAUAUAUCGGAACGUACCGAGUAAUGGGGGAUAACUAAUCGAAAGAUUAGCUAAUACCGCAUAUUCUCUGAGGAGGAAAGCAGGAGACCUUCGGGCCUUGCGUUAUUCGAGCGGCCGAUAUCUGAUUAGCUAGUUGGUGGGGUAAAGGCCUACCAAGGCGACGAUCAGUAGCGGGUCUGAGAGGAUGAUCCGCCACACUGGGACUGAGACACGGCCCAGACUCCUACGGGAGGCAGCAGUGGGGAAUUUUGGACAAUGGGCGCAAGCCUGAUCCAGCCAUGCCGCGUGUCUGAAGAAGGCCUUCGGGUUGUAAAGGACUUUUGUCAGGGAAGAAAAGGCUGUUGCUAAUACCGACAGCUGAUGACGGUACCUGAAGAAUAAGCACCGGCUAACUACGUG